AGCAGCCGCGGUAAUUCCAGCUCCAAUAGCGUAUAUUAAAGUUGUUGCAGUUAAAAAGCUCGUAGUUGAAUUUCGGGGUCAAUACGUCGGUCGUGCCUUUGGUACGUACUGGUGUUAUUGAUCUCUCCCUUCUGAUGAAUCAUGAUGUCAUUAAUUUGGUGUCGUGGGGAGUCAGGACUGUUACUUUGAAAAAAUUAGAGUGUUUAAAGCAGGCUUACGCUUGAAUACAUUAGCAUGGAAUAAUGAAAUAGGACGUUCGAUCCUAUUUUGUUGGUUUCUAGGAUCAACGUAAUGAUUAAUAGGGAUAGUUGGGGGCAUUAGUAUUCAAUUGUCAGAGGUGAAAUUCUUGGAUUUAUUGAAGACUAACUACUGCGAAAGCAUUUGCCAAGGAUGUUUUCAUUAAUCAAGAACGAAAGUUAGGGGAUCGAAGACGAUCAGAUACCGUCGUAG
rnacentral:rRNA from 1 species